rnacentral:tRNA from 1 species
GGGCGUUUAGCUCAGUUGGUAGAGCAACUGGUUUACACCCAGUAGGUCACAAGUUCGAGUCUUGUAGCGCCCA